rnacentral:rRNA from 1 species
GGGGGAUAUUGCACAAUGGGGGAAACCCUGAUGCAGCGACCCCCCGUGGAGGAAGAAGGUUUUCGGAUUGUAAACUCCUGUCGUUAGGGACGAUAAUGACGGUACCUAACAAGAAAGCACCGGCUAACUACGUGCCAGCAGCCGCGGUAAAACGUAGGGUGCAAGCGUUGUCCGGAAUUACUGGGUGUAAAGGGAGCGCAGGCGGACCGGCAAGUUGGAAGUGAAAACUAUGGGCUCAACCCAUAAAUUGCUUUCAAAACUGCUGGCCUUGAGUAGUGCAUAGGUAGGUGGAAUUCCCGGUGUAGCGGUGGAAUGCGUAGAUAUCGGGAGGAACACCAGUGGCGAAGGGCGACCUACUGGGCACCAACUGACGCUGAGGCUCGAAAGCAUGGGUAGCAAACAGGAUUAGAUACCCUGGUAGUCCAUGCCGUAAACGAUGAUUACUAGGUGUUGGAGGAUUGACCCCUUCAGUGCCGCAGUUAACACAAUAAGUAAUCCACCUGGGGAGUACGACCGCAAGGUUGAAACUCAAAGGAAUUGACGGGGGCCCGCACAAGCAGUGGAGUAUGUGGUUUAAUUCGAAGCAACGCGAAGAACCUUACCAGGUCUUGACAUCCGAUGCAUAGUGCAGAGAUGCAUGAAGUCCUUCGGGACAUCGAGACAGGUGGUGCAUGGUUGUCGUCAGCUCGUGUCGUGAGAUGUUGGGUUAAGUCCCGCAACGAGCGCAACCCUUAUUGCCAGUUACUACGCAAGAGGACUCUGGCGAGACUGCCGUUGACAAACCGGAGGAAGGUGGGGAAGACGUCAAAUCAUCAUGCCCCUUAUGACCUGGGCUACACACGUAGUACAAUGGCGUUUAACAAAGAGAAGCAAGACCGCGAGGUGGAGCAAAACUCAAAAACAACGUCUCAGUUCAGAUUGCAGGCUGCAACUCGCCUGCAUGAAGUCGGAAUUGCUAGUAAUCGCGGAUCAGCAUGCCGCGGUGAAUACGUUCCCG